rnacentral:rRNA from 1 species
UACGAAGGGGGCUAGCGUUGUUCGGAAUUACUGGGCGUAAAGGGCGCGUAGGCGGUCGUCUCAGUCAGAAGUGAAAGCCCCGGGCUCAACCUGGGAACUGCUUUUGAUACUGGUCGACUUGAGUUCCGGAGAGGAUGGUGGAAUUCCCAGUGUAGAGGUGAAAUUCGUAGAUAUUGGGAAGAACACCGGUGGCGAAGGCGGCCAUCUGGACGGACACUGACGCUGAGGCGCGAAAGCGUGGGGAGCAAACAGG